rnacentral:siRNA from 1 species
UGCCGUUUUCGUUUUAGGUUC